rfam:Gossypium raimondii Chr01_contig_1041, whole genome shotgun sequence.
CACGUCAGUGCGCUUUGCUGACGUGGACACAAAUCGCGCUUAUGUGGACGCGAUUUGUUGCCACGUCAGCAGAGCGCGCUAAUGUGG